rfam:Picea glauca, whole genome shotgun sequence.
GGUUCUAUGGUGUAGUGGUUAGCACUCUAGACUUUGAAUGUAGCAACCUGGGUUCAAGUCCCGGUAGGACCU